rnacentral:lncRNA from 13 species
GUGAUGAGGUAGUCAGUGCUCAGGGAACCAGAAAAUAAAGCUUCUUGAUUUGUUCUAUCCAACAGACCUUGAUAUAAACUGAGAUGCCGGAACAACAUUGUAACUGAUAAAACCAAAAAUGUCUCCACAGAAAUAGUGUUUCACUUCCAAGCAAGGAUUCCUGCACCCCAUGAUGAGCAGAAUUCCCAGAUGGCCUCCCAGAGCUGUGACAUUGUCAGAAGCAUUCGAACCAGAGUGACCCCUUUCUUACUCAUAGGAUGAGAUAGAGGAUUGGCACAAGAUGCAGAGACCCCAGAGAGAUCCUGUGGCCCUUGCUCCACGUGAGAACAGAGUGAGAAGACAGCCAUCUGUGAGGAAUUGGGUCCUCACCAGACAGCAAAUCUGCCUGAGCUAUGACCUGAGACUUUUCAGCCUCCAGAACUGUGAGAAAUAAAUUUCUGUGUUUUUUGAAAGCCACCCAGUCUGUGGGAUUAUACCGAAGCAGGCUGACCUGAACUGAAACAGCAGUCCAUGGUAUAAAUUAGGAGAAAGGGGCCUGAAAUGCUGAAAACAGCUUGGUAAAUACAAAACCACCUUAAGCUUUACAGGAAGUCACAACUAUGAGGAACGUCACUUCUGGCAUGCGUUUCAGUAAGGUGAUUUUUUGUGACAAUGGAAUCUUUGAAAAAAGAAUUUUUUAAAAAACGAAAACCCAGAUUAUACAGAUAUUCUCCUUUGAAUACUUUUGUAUCAGGAAAACACUAAUUGGUCUUUUUGGGAAUACGAUUAAGAAAUUAAAAUGUAUACAUGCCAAAUCAGUAAAAUCUAAAAGAGCAGAAUUGAAGAAUUUUUCCAUUAAUCUGCAUUUAGCCCCAUUUUUCAUCCAAAAGAGUAAUGACCCCAUUUUAUCAAUGUCAAGUUUUAAUGCUAUACUUUUACGUCAGGGGCUCUAUUUUCUUUCACCUGAUAUAUUUUUAAAUUUCAUGACUAGAGAAUAGCAUUUACUAACUUUUAAUUAAGUUUAAUUAAUAUGUAUAGAUGUUUUUCUUCCUAUUACAGGAAGACAUUUUUGGAAUUUGUUUCAGUAGAUAACAUGCCAG